rnacentral:tRNA from 1 species
GCACUCGUAACUUAGCCGGAUAAAGUGUCAGAUUCCGAUUCUGAGGACGCGGGUUCGAGUCCUGCCGAGUGCGCCA